rnacentral:rRNA from 1 species
AAACGAAACAACUGGACGUUUUCCGGAAUUAAUUGGGCGUUAAGGGUGCGUAGGCGGCCUUUUAAGUCAGAUGUGAAAGAUCACGGCUCAACCGGGGUAAUGCAUUUGGAACCGGGAGGCUUGAAUUAAGGAGAAGAAAGUGGAAUUCCUAGGGUAGCGGUGAAAUGGGUAUAUAUUACGAGGAAUACCAGUGGCGAAAGCGACUUUCCGGACUUAUACUGACGCUGUAGGCACCAAAGCGUGGGGAACCAAACAGAAUUAAUUCCCUGGUAAUCCACGCCGUAAACCAAUAGUGAUUCGUGGUGGGGGUCAAACCUCGGUGCCGCAACUAACGCAUUAAACACUCCGCCGGGGGGGAACGUACGCCAGCAUGAAAAUCAAAGGAAUUGACGGGGACCCGCCCAAACAGCGGAACAAGUGGGUUAAUUCCAAGCAUCCCCAAGAAACUUACCUGGGCUUGACAUGCCCCUGACCGUCCUAGAAAACGGGCUUUACCUUCGGCUACAGGGGACACACGUGGUGCAUGGCUGUCGCCCGCUCCUGUCGUGAGAUGUUGGGUUAAGUCCCGCAACGAGAGCAACCCUUGUCUUUAGUUGCUGACAGAUAUAGCUGAGCACUCUAGAGGGACUGCCGAUGACGAAUCGGAGGAAGGUGGGGAUGACGACCAAUCAUCAUCCUCUUUAUGUCCUGGGCUACACACGUGCUACAAUGAUCGGUACAACGAGCAGCUACUUAUCGAUAAGAUGCUAAUCACUUAAAGACGAUCUCAGUUCGGAUUGCAGGAUGCAACUCUCCUGCAUGAGGUCGGAGUUGCUAGUAAUCUCGGAUCACAAUGUCGCGAUGAAUGCAUUCCCCGGUGUUGUACACACCGCCCGUCCCACCAUGGGGAGUGGGUAAUGCCCGAAGCCAAUGAGCUGACCCUUUGGAGGCAACUGUCGAAAGUAGGGGCAAUGACUGGGGGGGAGUCGUAAAAGGGUAUCGUAAAAAGCCAAA